UAAGAGGCUUUUAUAAAAGCCAUGUUCAGAUACUUCAAAUUAAAAU
rfam:Physcomitrella patens subsp. patens PHYPAscaffold_424 genomic scaffold, whole genome shotgun sequence.